rnacentral:rRNA from 1 species
CAGUCGAGCGGAGACAGUGAGUAGCUUGCUAUGAGCUGUUUUAGCGGCGGACGGGUGAGUAACGCGUGAGCAACCUUUCCCAGACAGGGGAAUAACACACCGAAAGGUGUACUAAUACCGCAUAAGACCACGGGAUCACAUGGUUCUGAGGUAAAAGAUUUAUCGGUUUGGGGUGGGCUCGCGUCCGAUUAGGUAGUUGGUGAGGUAACGGCCCACCAAGCCGACGAUCGGUAGCCGACCUGAGAGGGUGAUCGGCCACAUUGGGACUGAGACACGGCCCAAACUCCUACGGGAGGCAGCAGUGGGGAAUAUUGGGCAAUGGAGGAAACUCUGACCCAGCAACGCCGCGUGGAGGAAGAAGGUUUUCGGAUCGUAAACUCCUGUCCUUGGAGACGAGUAGAAGACGGUAUCCAAGGAGGAAGCCCCGGCUAACUACGUGCCAGCAGCCGCGGUAAUACGUAGGGGGCAAGCGUUGUCCGGAAUAAUUGGGCGUAAAGGGCGCGUAGGCGGCUCGGUAAGUCUGGAGUGAAAGUCCUGCUUUUAAGGUGGGAAUUGCUUUGGAUACUGUCGGGCUUGAGUGCAGGAGAGGUUAGUGGAAUUCCCAGUGUAGCAGUGAAAUGCGUAGAGAUUGGGAGGAACACCAGUGGCGAAGGCGACUAACUGGACUGUAACUGACGCUGAGGCGCGAAAGUGUGGGGAGCAAACAGGAUUAGAUACCCUGGUAGUCCACACUGUAAACGAUGAAUGCUAGGUGUAGGGGGUAUCGACCCCUUCUGUGCCGCAGUCAACACAAUAAGCAUUCCGCCUGGGGAGUACGGCCGC